rnacentral:rRNA from 1 species
CUGUCGUCAGCUCGUGUCGUGAGAUGUUGGGUUAAGUCCCGCACGAGCGCAACCCUUGCCUUUAGUUGCCAGCAGUUCGGCUGGGCACUCUAAAGGGACUGCCGGUGUUAAACCGGAGGAAGGUGGGGAUGACGUCAAGUCCUCAUGGCCUUUAUGACCAGGGCUACACACGUACUACAAUGGCCGAUACAAAGGGCAGCGACACUGCGAGGUGAAGCCAAUCCCGUAAAAUCGGUCUCAGUCCGGAUUGGAGUCUGCAACUCGACUCCAUGAAGUUGGAAUCGCUAGUAAUCGUGGAUCAGCAUGCCACGGUGAAUACGUUCCCGGGCCUU